rnacentral:lncRNA from 1 species
UUAAUUCACUGCCUUUCCUUGCAAGGAACAGAGGGAGAGCUUGUUCCAGCAGACGGGCCCCAUCCGCUCCUCCCGUCCGAGGGCUGGGAAGAAGGGAUGGAGGCGAAGGGAACUCUCCCACCCCUCCGGGGCCCCGCGGGCGCGCUGCUUCCCAGAAAAUACGGUAAAAAGCCUUCAGCCUAAAAAUGUAAGUCUGAUCUCAUGACACAGGGUGGCCCUGCAUUCCUCACCUCUGACAUAACCCGCUGGGAGUGUGCUCGCGGAAAAACACAAACAAGAUGUACUGGGGCGGCUGGCGGCAGGGCCAGGCGGCUGGCAGAUGUGUGGGGUGGGAGAGGAGCCCCCGCUGCCCUGCAGACCGUGAGCACAGAGCGUUCCUUGGCAGUGCAUGAGCCCACGACCUUGUUCACCUCCCCCCCGCAGCCCCAACUCCACGCUGGGGUCGGUAGGGUGGUAAUGGGGUUGUGAAGUACACAGGGAGGCGGCUGAGCUCUCCCGGGGGUGUUGCUGGUGGAAGGCUGAGGGUGUUUUUAGGGACUUGUGGUGCUUCUGCAGUGGGUUGGUGGUUGUUAUUUGUUGUCUUGGUUUGGGGAUUUCUGUAGGACUGCGGUGAGGAGGAACCAGUGGGAAGAGGCUGCUGGGGUGCCCUGGUUGGAGUCUCCAGAGGGUCCCUUGGGGCACAACCAGAGAUUGUGACACCGAAACCCCCACACAGUGAAACCCGUGGACCUGGAGCCUUCUGCUCGCCCCAGCAAACUGCUCAGCACCAUCCCGUAACCUCCUGCUCCCAUCAGCAAUGAUGCCAGGGGGUGCAUCUGCUCUAAGUGCACCAUGCAUAGGAGCAAGCUGUGCCCCAAAGAGCACCUGUGGGUGUCACGGGGCACCGAUUCCUCCCUUGUGCAUGUGGAAAGGUUUGUCAGGGAUCACAACCGAGCCAUCCUCCCAUCUCACCCCCUUGUUUACUUUCUUCUGCAAAUGCCCUAAACCUUGACAACGACCUAUUUUCCCUUCUGUUGUGCAAAGCUUCUUUCCUAGAAAGCGGCUUUGCAAUGCUCUGUCCAACCAGCCGAGCUCUCCUCGGCGUGUGCACGGGGAAGCCAGCUCCAAAUGGCUGGCAGGUUUAGCUGAGCUCCAGCACACCCCGAACCCACACGCAGAUGAGCUGGGAGACAUGGUCAGAUGCUACCUGAAGCUGUCCUGGGAGACUGCCUGCUCCGAGGAAGCAGAUGAGCAGCAGACAGCCUUCGGACUCACUGCUCACAACUCGCUUUUCCUUAUUUCUGAUUCAUCCAUUUGCUUCUGUUCCAGCAGUCAACAAAGCGAGGAGAAGGCAUUUCUUACUUGCAGGCAUUUCUCCCCUCACUGUUCCUGAGCAGAGAAAAUAUCCGAUUAUCUUUUUUUCUUUUAAUUUCCCAUUUUGCAAAAAAAAAAAAAAAAAAAAAAAAAAAAAAAAAAAAAAAAAAGGAUCAUUUCCUAAAUAAUUCUCCCCACAAUAAUUCCUAGUUUUCAGGACGACUGCUCCUUUGGCAGGGGGAAAGCAAGAAAGAAGAGGAACACUGGUAACAAGAAACAGUGGCAACAAGAGAAACUAUGGUUCAGAUUGGCUUCUGCAGAGCACAGUUUGUACCCAGAGCAGAGGCACAGUGCUUUGCUCAUGGCUCCCAUCCUCUUCUCAGCCGCCCCUUUGCCCAAGGGCUCCUAUCCUUGCUGCUUCCCAAUGCCAGAGUCAUGCUUGGGUUGACAACAUUGCUGGGGCUGCCUCUUUCUCUGUUCACUUAAGUCUUCCACAGUGUAUUUUCUUCUCCAUCCCUAACCUGCCGCCCAGGUUUUUUUUUUUUUAAGUUAACCCAAACUCAGUGCUGAUUUAUUUUAAGGUGCCAGGCUGUAACCUGAAGCUAGAGACAUAAAAUUAGCCUUGCAAGCUCCUGUUGGCCAGCUGGGAGCACAGGUUAGGGAUUCAUCCGACAGCAGCGAUGGUUUGGGUUGAAGAUUACUGCUUGCUCCCUCCUGCAGCUUGGCUUUGUAGCCAACCCUGCUCUUGUCCAGAUGGAUGAACUGCUCUGUGUGGAAGCAAAGCACACGGCGUGAAGCCUGAUGUGCCAGGGACAGGGUCUGUUAAUGAAGCAACUCAUGAGCCCUCCAACACCUACGCAUGUGCCUUGUCCAAACAGCUGAAGUCACCAAACUUACAAUCACUGCCAGGGCCUCCCAACAUCGUGGUUAUUAUGUCCACGCUGGAGCAUGGCUGCUAUAUGCAUCUGACCUGCAGAGAUGCUGACCCGGAUAACCCAAAUGCCAGAGAAAUGGCACAUUUGUGGUGCAUUAGCACCUUCCUUGGCUGGAGAUAGCAAGGUCCCUGUCGUGAGCGUGUGGAGCUGAGAAGAGAAGACAAAGAGGUGUAGACACUUAUUGAAAACCCUCUAAAAAAGUGUUAUCAGUCUGAGAUUAUAUAGGGAGUGAGCCACUGGGGUCACUAACUGAUCUCCUCGCUCCUUGGGAAGCCAUAGGACUGGUGCUUAGAAGGACAAUUGAUUCUCCUAAGUGUCCUGACCUUCCCUAGAUGUACAGCCAACAGCCCCUGGAUGGAUUCUCUUGUGUCCAUUGUCAUAGAAUGGCUUGGGCUGGAAGGAACCAUAAAGACCAUCCAGUUCCAGCUCCCUGCCAUGGGCAAGGAUACCUCCCAGUGCAUAAAGUUGCCCAGGGCCCUAUCCAACCUUGAGCCCAGGGGCUUGAGCGCCUCCAAGGAUGAGAAACUAUUUCCUGUGAAAUAACAGGAUUCCUAUGAUAACUACACAAGCUCUGCCUGGAAAACCCAAGGAGUCCUUGACUGAAGCUUUUCUUUGAAUUUCAGUAGCCCUGCAAAUAAUUCUCCCAGGUUUGCUAAGAAGUUCUGAAUGUGGCAUUAGACUGAGUUGAUAUGACAUAAAGUGGUCUCUGGGAGAGUGUUAUCCAGUCAUGGUAUUUUUUUUAAAUGCACAUUGAAAUGCAAACAAGUAUGGAACUGGCUGAUGGGCUGACAUCUGCCCUUACUUAUGCAGAGAUUAUUGGGCACCUGGGGACCUUGCUGGUGAGCAGGAUCAAGCUCCUGGGCCCCAAGCAAGUGAGUGCUUUUGUGUCCCCACUGCAAGCUAAAAUGAAGCAUCCUUACAGCAUCUCUGCAGCCAGUGGGCUGGACUGCAGCUGUGUCUGCUUAUCAUAGUCAAUGUGCUGCGUGCAAUACCUUUGCCCAAAAUGUUGAGCAGCCUGUCCAAACAGUCCAUCUGGAGCUAAAAUUUGGGUGCUAUGAACACACAGGGACUCUGAUCUUGGCAGAUACCUUUUAUCACUGAAACAGCACUACUAUAUCUCCAAUUUCAUGACUUUUGUCCAUUUCAAGGCCAAAACUGAGAAUGUCUAUGUAAUGAAUAACCUCUACUAAGAAGUGUUCUGUGGUUGCACCUAUGGGCUUAGAGUUAAGGUUAAAUUACUGAUUUAAUAACUGGAGGUGCAUGAGCUGUUCCAUGCAACUAACCAAGUUCCUGCAGGAGUUACACCAUGUCUUAUAAGCUUCCAAAAAAGUUUCCAAAAUUGUCAUCUCUUAAGCAGUGAUUCUCCAAUCUGAAUGCCUGAUGACAUCUAGGGUGGCCUAAAAAUCAUCCUACAGCUGAAAUCCAUCCACACUAAUGCAAAUCUGCAGGUGGGACUCGAGGUCUUUCCCAGACUGCACAUAGCUGUGCCACGGGUAAGGAUGUAAUCCUCCAACCUACUCCUCCAUUUCUGAUAGCCAAGCACAGAAGGAGAAAAGAUGUUAUCAUAGAGUCAUUAAGGUUGGAAAAACCCACUGAGAUCACCUAGUCCACUCAUCACAACAUGUAGAUCUGUAAUGUUUGGUUAUAUGCUAAAAACCUAAGUGUAGUCUCUAUGCCAAACUUGACAUUGCCUUUCACAUUCCCUUCCAACUAAAGGAUUCGAGAAAAAGAACACAUCCCUGUCUAUUGUUGCUUCUGGGCAGGAAAAUCCCAUCAUGCUUCCCCCCCAGCAUCCAGGAAGGACCAUCAGAUUGAUGAUGGAAGGUCAUAUUCAUAUAUUUGCUAUUUGUUUUCCACAGAACUGCAGCCCGUGGCUGCCCAAGGCUGAGGAACCAGCCCCUCGGGGCUCACUUAGAGAUGUCAACGUGUGGCCAUUGGCCGGUCUCUCUGAUGGGCAGAAGUCAUCUGGCGAGGUGCUGAUCCUCCUAUAGUGUUUGCAAGAUCUUUAAGAAGAAUUGCAUGGCCGAUGUCGUUGCGUUUGAGUUGUGCUAGAAUACCCUGACCAUCAGAGGACUUGGAUUUUAUGACAGAAGAGAUCAGCACUGCAAAGACAUGGCGAUGUUGUUCACAUUGCCUGGACCUGAGCCCAGGGUCCGGGACCAGACCUGUCUCAUACCCACACCUUAGAAGACAGCGCCGUGUUCGUGUUUUCUUUUUGCAGGCUGAAAGCUUUCCUGGACCUGCUGAACACUUCUGCUGUAAUCUGUCGUGGCUGUCAGGGUGCCAAGAGACAUGCCAGACCCUGGGCCACAAUAGUGGAACAGACAUGCCCAGAGCUGAAAGCUGGCACAAGGUAGUGUAUAAAGUGAGAUAUGUGAAGCCACGGGCAAAUAGUUUGGUAAUCACGUGGGUCAGUUAGGCUUGGCACAGGGCAGAGCCUGUCUGCUCAUCAAGGAAGGCAGAGACAAAACUUCGUCAUAGAAUCAUAGAAUAUUUGAAUUAUUGAAUCAUUGAAUGGCUUGGGUUAGAAGGGACCUUACAGCCCACCCAGCUCCAACCCCAGUGCCAUGGGCACAGUUGCCACUCACUGCAUCAGGUUGCCCAGUGCCCCACACAACCUGGUCUUGAGAAGAGUUGGGGGACUUCUUAAUGAGAGCUACGAGGAUUAAACAAAAACAAUUACUCCAGAAGGACUGAGGUAAAGGACACAGUGUUGUCUCAGUGGGGUCGCAAACACAUUUCAAAACAGAUUUUUGCAGAAAGAGAUGUUUCCCAUUCCCCAGAUAUCUUGUUCCCAACAACGAUUCUCGUUUCACAGUAAGGUUCAGGGUUGGAGGAAGGAGCAUGAGCCUUGCUCAGCAUUGGUGCAGGGGAUGCUCCACGUGUCUCCUCACCUAGAAAGCUAAACCUCAAAGAAUAGAAGAGCACAAUUCACUCCUCGCAGAUGGGGAAAUGGUGCAGUGAGUCAGCAAGGCAGACCACAGAUGCUGUCCAAAAGCAUUGCAGCAAUUAGUUGGAGCAAGGUGGAGAUAUAUUCCUCCAAAAUGAAAGUCUCUGUAGGCUGUUACCAGUGCUCACAGCCAUCUAGUCCCUUGCUGAACAUUUCUGACCAAAAUCCUUCCAAGCUGAUCUAUUUUCAGCCCAACCCACUCGAUACCUUGAUUGCUACGCAGCUCUUUUAGCUGCUCUUAGGUAAACAUGUUGUCAUUCCCUGGCAUUUUGCCUCGCUAAGACCAAAAAUAUGAGUGGCACAGAAAAUAAGAAAAGCUGUUCUCCUCCGCCAGGAAAAAUGAUGCUAUUUCUGAAAUAAACUGUUUUUAAUACACCUCACCAGCCAUGUGCAUAUACACACAUGUAUAAAUAUACUUGACCCGGAGGUCCAGUUCCAGUGUUGGCAUCUUGUAUGCCUAUAUGGAGACAGAACAGAGAGGGAAUUAUGUAUGUACAAACCAGGACACACCUUCGGUCCAGUCUACAUCUGAAUGCAGAACGUUGGUUAAGACAAAAUACUGAGGUCUGAUCCCCAUUAAAACAGGUUCACAGGGACUGGUCCAAACUGAGACCAGAGAGUUAUGGGCUGUCAUGAGGAGCAGCUUCUACCAUAGCGACCCAUGUGCCCCAUACCUAAAACCAGCAUCCCCAGGGUUGAACCAGAGCAGGCUGGAGCAGAUCAGUGUCAGAGCUCUAUCCACAGCAGGCCUUGUUUUUGAGGAAUGACAGUGAUGUUGGCCAGACCUCCAAGCCUCUUUUUUUUUCAGAUUUCUCUUUAUCGAGUAAACACAUAGAAGUCAACAACAGAUGGAGCAUCACAUGGAGUUACGCAGGUCAGCAAAGGCUUCGGAGACCCCGUGAGUUUGAGGAGGCAAUAAAUUGGCAGGAGAUGUGGAUGGGAAAUUAUUCUGAGGGACGGAGGAAAAAAAUAGUGGGUUGAUCUGUCGCCCCUGUGACAUGCUCAGGUUUUGUGGAGGAAGACAAAGGUGGGCAGAUAACAAAAGCUCCUGGGUAGGAAGGCUUUUGGGUUCCUCUUUGGCUGCAAAUUGUGAAAUUCAAGCAGAAAGGUAACAAACUGGUAACAAAACGGGCAGGAGUAAAGCAAAGCGAGUGCAAAACAAAAGCAGAUUUUGUGUGACAGGAGCAGAUUGAACUGAUGUGACAAAGGAGGAGGAGAGCUUUUUCAGUAGCUUGUAUAGUGCUGCGGGGAGCUGGGAGUGACAAAUGAGGAAUUUGCACAAGUGGAGAGCAACAGCGUAGGGCUGUGUGUUGAGGAAGAAAGAAAGGAGAAAAGGGAGCAAAGGACACCUAUUAAUAAAAAGAAACCUACAUUCCAUUUAAGAUUUAUUGCUAGCUCAGAGCCAGAGAAUCUUUCAUGCCUUCGCAUCUCUGAGCUAACAUUACCCAAGAGUGGGUAGUGGUGGGGAUCCACUAUGAGCCAUUGAAUUCAAGUGGAAAAGAGCUCCGGUCUUUAAUAUGCAGAAAUUAAAACACUUUGGCUGACAGAGCUUUCAAUCUGAGAAACCUGCACUGUAGUAGCAGAAUAGCAUUAGUGCUCCUGAAUACACAGCUGGUAAUUUCCGAGCACGAAAUAUCAUGCAUUGAAAAUGAAAUUGCUCCAUUUAGGAGAUCGGUGUGGUGGGGAUGGAUGAAUUCAGUGCUGGAUGAAAAAUUAAUGGUUGCCUUCAGACAGGUGUUGACUAGCUGGUGGUGUUCCAAGAAAGGACGGUCCCAUCUGGUCAUGGGGAGAGCUGUGAUGGUGCGAAAAGAAGAGAGUGAUCACCAUGGACAAAGAGCAUCCCACGAACUCAUGUCAGAGAAGAGUUUUUGUCUUGGAGGUGGAGGGCUCAGUCGGUGGGAGAAGUAGGGCUACUUCUACGUGGGGUGUGGAUGGAGAAGUUUGAGAAACGGAAGGAGAACCCAUGGAGACAGUGUGAGACAUCCCCAGAAUGAAUCCAGAUGUGCUGCUCUGUCUGUAACCCGGUGCUGUAAGGAGGACUGAGAUCUGCUGCACUGCAAGCCUGGAGAAAGAUACCCACCAUGGAUCUUCUCCCUGGACUCCUGACCCCAACUGCUCACCUUCCUCCUUCUGCCCUGGGCUAACUUCUCCUCGACUUCUGCUUUGGUUGAAAAGAGGCUGGGGUAAAAAAAGGGGGAAGGGGAGCCUGAAGGUGCAGUGAAAUUUGGUUUUUCAGCUUUAUUGCAUAAGGAAGCCCUGACAGCUUUUAACACCAUUGUCACUUGCAGGAAGAAAAGUUGUUGGCAGUUUGUGGGGGUCUCCUUUGGCUUUAGAUGGAGCAGAAGAAUGCACUAUCACUUCUGCUAUAGGCUGUGCUUAGCAGUGGAGCAAGGCAUUGCCCUAGCACCAGCAGCGCUCUGAAUUCAUCUCCACACUCCAUGUUUUCCUUCACUAAGUCUAAUGAGGGCUGCAGGCUGCUAGGGAGGCACGCAGCAAUAAAGACUGAAAACAGUACGCAGGACUUCCAGCUGCAAACUGUGUGUGACCCAGGACCUGACUUGACUUGGCUUGUGUGGGGAUCCUCUUCCCAAUAUCUGAUUCACCCUCAUACUGUAUGUAGCAUCAUGGUUUUUAUCAGCAUUCCAUAUCAUAGCAUCAUGUCAUACGUUCUCAGUACUGAGGCUGCUGGGGUUGUAAUUCCUGGUUUCCUUAUGGUGUGAUGUUAUGAUAUGGAAUAUCGAUGGACAGUACCCUGGACGUGCUCCAUAGGCAUAGGGGGACCCAGGGUGAAAGCCCACCCAAGGACCGCAGACAAAGGCACCCAUAAUAACUAGAGGGUAGCUGGAGAAGCAGCACCAUUGGGUGUAUCAGCUGUGUGUAACCUCCAGCAGCAUCAUACAAGAAAUGUUUGGCCUGACCCAAAGCCCACUGGAGAAAAUAAGGAGAAGCAUCACUUCCAGGAACAGCAUGGAUGUGGUGCAAUCAGGGAGAAAGGCAAGAAAAGCUGUGCAAGCAUUUGCCUAACGUUCUUCUGGGAGAUAAUAAUUGCCAAACAGCACUUGUUCCCUCCCUUUAUCCCACUCUGUCCUUCAGGGACAUCUGUUCCAAAGGGAAGAACCUGAUAAUUAUGGAUUGGGUCCUCCGAUGGAGGCUGGAUAUGGCCCCAAGGCAGCCAGCCUCCCUGUGCACAGUGCUCAUGCUGGGAAUGCAGCCUGUGAGUGGUUCAAUUAAAAGGUUUCUCAGCAAUGACACCAGCAGAGGCACAAGAAGCAGACAACCUAUUCACAGACCAAUUAGUUUUAUGAAUAAAUGUGUGCAGGACAGUGAGCCCAUCGGCUGAGCGAGCCAUGCCGGAGUGCUGAGCAGCACUGGGAAAUAUUCUAUCGGGAAGUUUUAAAUGCCAGUCUCCGUGCAUGGAUGGGGCUGCGUGGCUUUCCAUCAGCUCAAGCUUGCCCCUGCUGAUCCUUCAAUUCACGCUGUCUUCUCCCCAUAUAUGCCAUUCUCAUGGGCUUGGUGGGGGCAAACGCUUCGCAUGCAUGUUUUACCCAGCUCCAUCAUGUCAUCCUUCCCUUCGUGGCCAGAAUGGGCCAUGAACUCCCAUUUCUUCCCAUCAGACUGGGUUGCCUUGCAAAGGGCCCAGCCCCUCUCACCCUAUUUGAGGACCUGGGGGUUCAGUGGGGCCAGCACCACUGGGCUCCAGCCUCCUGCAGCCCCAACAUAGACCAGGUGGGUGUCAGAGCAGCUCCAAUCCCAGUAGGCGUUUAGUGUCAUUUAUACCAAGGCUAAUUACAUCUUAACAUUUUCCCUCUGUAUUUUGGUAUUUAUUUUGGAAAAGCUCCUCCCUGGAGUCACUUUCUU